ACUCAUGGAUGAACAAAGAAAGUAGUUUCUUGAGAUGGAAUCUACUCCUGGUGAAGAUGCUGUGAA
rnacentral:pre_miRNA from 1 species